UACGGAGGGAGCUAGCGUUGUUCGGAAUUACUGGGCGUAAAGCGCGCGUAGGCGGCUUUGUAAGUUAGAGGUGAAAGCCUGGAGCUCAACUUCAGAAUUGCCUUUAAGACUGCAUCGCUUGAAUCCGGGAGAGGUGAGUGGAAUUCCGAGUGUAGAGGUGAAAUUCGUAGAUAUUCGGAAGAACACCAGUGGCGAAGGCGACUACCUGGCCUGUUUCUUGACGCUGAGGCGCGAAAGCUAGGGGAGCAAACGGG
rnacentral:rRNA from 1 species